GAGGUGGACAAGAUGAGUAUUCUCAGGCGCUCGGGUGAUGGUCUGCGAAGGAACUAGGCAAAUUAGCUCCGUAACUUCGGGAGAAGGAGUGCCCACCUCAGACGUGGGUCGCAGUGAAUAGCGUCAGGCGACUGUUUAACAAAAACACAGGUCUCUGCUAAGUCAAAAAAACGACGUAUAGGGGCUGACGCCUGCCCGGUGCCGGAAGGUUAAAAGGAGGGGUUAGUCGCAAGGCGAAGCUCUGAAUUGAAGCCCCGGUGAACGGCGGCCGUAACAAUAACGGUCCUAAGGUAGCGAAAUUCCUUGUCGGGUAAGUUCCGACCUGCACGAAUGGCGUAACGAUCUGACGACUGUCGGCGCAGGCCGCCCGGCGAACUUGUGGUUCCGGUGAAGACGCCGGAUGCCCGCCACUGGACGAAAAGACCCCGUGCACCUUUACUAUACUUUAACAAUGAAUUAUGGGAUGGACUGCGUAGGAUAGGUGGGAGGCUUUGAACCCGGAUUCUUGGAUUCGGGGGAGCCAAUGGUGAAAUACCACCCUGUUUAUUCUGUGAUUCUAACCUACCGACCUGAUCGGCCGGAGGGACAUUGUUAGACGGGCAGUUUGACUGGGGCGGUCGCCUCCAAAAUUGUAACGGAGGCGUGCGAAGCUUGGUUCAGGAGGUUUGGAAAUCCUCCUUCGAGUGCAAUAGCAUAAACCAGGUUGACUGUGAGACCUACAAGUCAAGCAGCUGCGAAAGCAGGCUAUAGUGUUCCGGUGAUUCUGUAUGGAAGGGUCAUCGCUCAACGGAUAAAAGGUACGCCGGGGAUAACAGGCUGAUCGGAGUCAAGAGUUCAUAUCGACGCUCCGGUUUGGCACCUCGAUGUCGGUUCAUCGCAUCCCGGGGGUGUAGAAGCUCCCAAGGGUUAGGCUGUUCGCCUAUUAAAGCGGUACGUGAACUGGGUUCAGAACGUCGCGAGACAGUUCGGUCUCUAUCUGUGGUGGGCGUAGGAAAUUUGAAAGGAUCUGCCUUUAGUACGAGAGGACCGAGGUGGACGAACCUCUUGUGAUCCAGUUGUCCCGCCAGGGGCACCGCUGGGUAGCGAAGUUCGGUUAGGAUAAGCGCUGAAUGCAUAUAAGCGCGAAACCUUCCUUAAGAUGAGAUUUCCCAAGCGCAAGCUAUGAAGGGGCGUGGAAGACGACCACGUUGAUAGGCCGGGUGUGUAAGCGUAGUAAUACGUUAAGCUGACCAGUACUAAUCGCCCGUUCGGCUUGACCUG
rnacentral:rRNA from 1 species